rnacentral:tRNA from 1 species
GCCCUGGCAUCACUCAGUUGGUAGAGCAUGAGACUCUUAAUCUCAGGGUUGUGGGUUCAAGUCCCAUGUUGGGUA